rnacentral:rRNA from 1 species
GACGAACGCUGGCGGCGUGCUUAGCACAUGCAAGUCGAGCGGUAAGGCCCUUUCGGGGGUACACGAGCGGCGAACGGGUGAGUAACACGUGGGUGACCUGCCCUCAGCUCUGGGAUAAGCCUGGGAAACUGGGUCUAAUACCGGAUAUGACUCCAUGACGCAUGUUGUGGGGUGGAAAGCCUUGUGCGGCUGAGGAUGGGCCCGCGGCCUAUCAGCUUGUUGGUGGGGUGAUGGCCUACCAAGGCGACGACGGGUAGCCGGCCUGAGAGGGCGACCGGCCACACUGGGACUGAGACACGGCCCAGACUCCUACGGGAGGCAGCAGUGGGGAAUCUUGCGCAAUGGGCGAAAGCCUGACGCAGCGACGCCGCGUGAGGGAUGACGGCCUGGUGUAAC